AAUAGAUACCCGGGUAGUCCACGCCGUAAACGAUGAGUGCUAAGUGUUAGGGGGUUUCCGCCCCUUAGUGCUGCAGCUAACGCAUUAAGCACUCCGCCUGGGGAGUACGGUCGCAAGACUGAAACUCAAAGGAAUUGACGGGGGCCCGCACAAGCGGUGGAGCAUGUGGUUUAAUUCGAAGCAACGCGAAGAACCUUACCAGGUCUUGACAUCCCGCUGACCGCUAUGGAGACAUAGCCUUCCCUUCGGGGACAGCGGUGACAGGUGGUGCAUGGUUGUCGUCAGCUCGUGUCGUGAGAUGUUGGGUUAAGUCCCGCAACGAGCGCAACCCUUGAGAUUAGUUGCCAUCAUUCAGUUGGGCACUCUAAUCUGACUGCCGGUGAUAAACCGGAGGAAGGUGGGGAUGACGUCAAAUCAUCAUGCCCCUUAUGACCUGGGCUACACACGUGCUACAAUGGACGGUACAAACGGGUUGCCAACCCGGCGAGGGGGGAGCCGAAUCCCGAUAAAACCCGUUCUCAGUUCGGAUUGUAGG
rnacentral:rRNA from 1 species